GACGAACGCUGGCGGCGUGCUUAACACAUGCAAGUCGAACGAUGAAGCUGGAGCUUGCUUUGGUGGAUUAGUGGCGAACGGGUGAGUAACACGUGAGUAACCUGCCCUUGACUCUGGGAUAAGCGUUGGAAACGACGUCUAAUACUGGAUAUGACGACCGGAGGCAUCUUCUGGUCGUGGAAAGAUUUUUUGGUUGGGGAUGGACUCGCGGCCUAUCAGCUUGUUGGUGGGGUAAUGGCUCACCAAGGCGACGACGGGUAGCCGGCCUGAGAGGGUGACCGGCCACACUGGGACUGAGACACGGCCCAGACUCCUACGGGAGGCAGCAGUGGGGAAUAUUGCACAAUGGGCGAAAGCCUGAUGCAGCAACGCCGCGUGGGGGAUGACGGCCUUCGGGUUGUAAACCUCUUUUAGUAAGGAAGAAGCCUUCGGGUGACGGUACUUGCAGAAAAAGCACCGGCUAACUACGUGCCAGCAGCCGCAGUAAUAC
rnacentral:rRNA from 1 species